rnacentral:rRNA from 1 species
GUCGAGCGAACUGAUUAGAAGCUUGCUUCUAUGACGUUAGCGGCGGACGGGUGAGUAACACGUGGGCAACCUGCCUGUAAGACUGGGAUAACUUCGGGAAACCGAAGCUAAUACCGGAUAGGAUCUUCUCCUUCAUGGGGGAUGAUUGAAAGAUGGUUUCGGCUAUCACUUACAGAUGGGCCCGCGGUGCAUUAGCUAGUUGGUGAGGUAACGGCUCACCAAGGCAACGAUGCAUAGCCGACCUGAGAGGGUGAUCGGCCACACUGGGACUGAGACACGGCCCAGACUCCUACGGGAGGCAGCAGUAGGGAAUCUUCCGCAAUGGACGAAAGUCUGACGGAGCAACGCCGCGUGAGUGAUGAAAGCUUUCGGGUCGUAAAACUCUGUUGUUAGGGAGGAACAAGUACGAGAGUAACUGCUCGU